UUACCCUACGGGAGGCAGCAGUGAGGAAUAUUGGUCAAUGGUCGGGAGACUGAACCAGCCAAGCCGCGUGAGGGAUGAAGGUACAGAGUAUCGUAAACCUCUUUAGGCGGGGAGCAAUGCCGGGCACGCGUGCCCGGAGGGAGAGUACCCGCAGAAUAAGCAUCGGCUAACUCCGUGCCAGCAGCCGCGGUAAUACGGAGGAUGCGAGCGUUAUCCGGAUUUAUUGGGUUUAAAGGGUGCGUAGGCGGAUUUUUAAGUCAGCGGUAAAAUGUCCGGGCUCAACCCGGGCCGGCCGUUGAAACUGG
rnacentral:rRNA from 1 species